rnacentral:rRNA from 1 species
CACGUAGGGGGCGAGCGUUGUCCGGAAUCAUUGGGCGUAAAGAGCGCGCAGGCGGCUUGGCAAGUCGGGUGUGAAAUCCCGGGGCUCAACCCCGUGACUGCAUCCGAUACUGUCAGGCUAGAGGUAGGUAGGGGAGAUCGGAAUUCCUGGUGUAGCGGUGAAAUGCGCAGAUAUCAGGAGGAACACCGGUGGCGAAGGCGGAUCUCUGGGCCUUACCUGACGCUCAGGCGCGAAAGCUAGGGGAGCGAACAGG